UACGGAGGGUGCAAGCGUUAUCCGGAUUUACUGGGCGUAAAGAGCGCGCAGGCGGUCGUUCAAGUCGCGUGUGAAAGCCCCCGGCUCAACUGGGGAGGGUCACGCGAUACUGAUCGACUCGAAGGCAGGAGAGGGUAGUGGAAUUCCCGGUGUAGUGGUGAAAUGCGUAGAUAUCGGGAGGAACACCAGUGGCGAAGGCGACUACCUGGCCUGUUCUUGACGCUGAGGCGCGAAAAGCUAGGGGAGCAACGGG
rnacentral:rRNA from 1 species